UCGCCUGUUUAUCAAAAACAUAGCUUCUAGCCAACCAGGUAUUAGGAGUAACGCCUGCCCUGUGGAGACCCUAAACCGGCCGCGGCACCAAAACCGUGCAAAGGUAGCACAAUCACUUGUCCCUUAAAUGAGGACCCGUAUGAAAGGCAACAUGAGAGAAAACCUGUCUCCUGAGACCAGCCAAUGAAAUUGGACUACCAGUACAAAAACUGGUAUUUACAAGCAAGACAAAAAGACCCUGUGGAACUUUAACAAAUUGCUUACCCAGAUAAGCGAUAGUUUCAGUUGGGACAACUUUAGAAAAAAUAAACUUCCUAAACAACCAAGACCGACAAGUCUAAACCUACACCACGAUCCAGUUAUACUGACUAACGAAACAAGCUACCCCAGGGAUAACAGCGCCACCUUCUUACAGAGUUCAUAUCGACAAGAAGAUCUACGACCUCGAUGUUGGAUCAGGGUAUCCAGACGGUGCAACAGCUGUCAAUGGUUCGUUUGUUCAACGACUAACACCCUACGUGAUCUGAGUUCAGACCGGA
rnacentral:rRNA from 1 species